UACGUAGGGUGCAAGCGUUAAUCGGAAUUACUGGGCGUAAAGCGUGCGCAGGCGGUUAUGUAAGCCAGAUGUGAAAUCCCCGGGCUCAACCUGGGAACUGCAUUUGUGACUGCAUAGCUAGAGUACGGUAGAGGGGGAUGGAAUUCCGCGUGUAGCAGUGAAAUGCGUAGAUAUCGAGAGGAACACCAGUGGCGAAGGCGAGUCUCUGGACAUUUCCUGACGCUGAGGCACGAAAGCCAGGGGAGCAAACGGG
rnacentral:rRNA from 1 species